CUAAAAAGUUGAAGAAAGAAGAGCUGUAUUAUCAGACAUGACGAAAACCAGGUAGGCUUUUUUUUUUUUCCUUUGCAAUUCUAGCUUUCAUAAUGGAUCAAGAAAUUUAUCUGUCAAUAAUCAAUUAUUAUAUGUCACUAACACAGAAACUUUCCUCACAGACAGCCCUCCAUUAAAUGUGGAUUAUGUCCUCUGCUUCAAGCUGCUUUGGACAUUUAGUUAGUUUUACUUCUGAACUCAUGGUAUACUUGCAUUGACUUUAUAGUAUGUUUGUUUGGAUGUUUAAGCUGCAAUCGGCAUCCUUCCCUGAAAUGAGAAAGGCAAUGAUGGCAUCAAGUACUUGCAUAAAGCAUUAGUUGUUGUCCAAAUGGAGAAGAUGCCAGCAGUUAUCUCUUCAUACCAGUAAGAGGGAUGUUGAAAUUGCUUCAUUUCCAGCAGAUUAAGGAAUUGUUCUUCUUGUGGAUUCUAGAGGGAGAGUGGACAGAAUUUCACCUAACUUUCACAUGUUCUGUUGGAAAAUUGACAGCCAUGUGAUGAAAUGAAAUAGUCAUAGACAGAGUUUUCAAAGUUUUUGAGAUGUACUAUCAGAAUUUGGACUUUGAAGAUCUCAGCAACUCACAAAACUUCACGAAGGCAGAUAUCUUAUCCGGUAUAUUUUUCUCUGGCUCUUCCACUAAAGGAUCUGCAACAAAUCAAAUGCGGUGCUGAAAGUUAUGUUUCCAUAAUACGGAGUUGACUUCUGCUUUCUGGGAUAGAAGGUAUGCAGACCUGCAAAUAGUGAUCUUCAAUUGUUGUGCAUUGCAUUCGAGGCUGCCAUUUGGUAUUUGAGAUCAUGUGCCAUGAAAAUUUCAAGUGGUCUACUACUGGCUUCAGGAGGAGGCCGAAUGUCUUUGCAGCAUUUUCCACAUGCUUCAUCUUAAAUUUCGGAUUGACAAAGCAACAUAGAGAAUGAUGGGGAGGCCGAUUCCUUUCUCUUUGGAACCAUUAGAAGCCAAUAACAACCACAACUCCAUUUCCACUCCAGGCAGGCGUUUUCACACAUAAGGAGUGCUCUACACACAAACUCGUUUAAGCAGAAUUGAAAACCAACUGCUUACGUGAUUGAAGUCGGAUGUGGAUUUUAACUUAAAGAUUCUUGCUACUUCCUUCAUGUAGUAGUUUACUUCCUAAAAUUUCAUUACCCUUUCCUGUUUUAAUUGUGAAUUUCUUGUAAACUUUUGACUAAAUCGUCUCCCAAGGUACUUGACAUACUUCAAGCUUUUAAGAAUAAUCUGAUAUAUUAUCAUUCAUUUCAUCCA
rnacentral:sRNA from 10 species